AAAAUUAAAUAAAAGCAAACACAAACAGAACCCAGUACCCUUCGCCAUCUCUUCUUUCUCUGCAAACGCCUUCUCUCACUACGAACCAAGAAAUCCUUCACUGGGAAACCCCUCGAUUCCUUCUCUUCACUGAAAACCCAGAAAUCCUUCGUCACUGGCAACCCUAACUUCAUAUUACAUGCAAAAUUAACACAUGCACUAUGAGAUGGUUAAGUGGCAAUGUCUAGAGUUACUAUGAGGAAGUUUGAAAAAACAAAGUAAAGGUGAUUUUCUGCCUCCAAAUCAUUGCUACACAUAGUUUCCUUCUCCUUUGAUUUGCACCCAACUUUCCUCCGCCGCUGUAUUUCCCUUCUCACUGUAAGGGUUCGCCGUAUAAAGGCCUCCCCUGUCGUCGACAUUGAAAUUGGUGCCUUUGUUUUGUUUCUUCAACUUCACUUCGCCGUAUUUCACCUUUUCUAGGGUCCGCUAUAUCAUGGUAAUAUCUCUGGUGGUUCACCGUAUUUCACUUCACCGUCGUUAUGUUAUUCCCCUGCUAUUGCAUCUUUCUAUAUGUGUGGUUUAAUGUUAUUAAUCCAAAAUGUUGUGGUUUCUAUUUAAGGUAAGAAGGUUGACGGAUUUUUAAUGUCAUCAAUCCUUGUUUUAUGUUGAUUUAAUUGCUAUCUUCUUCUUAGUUUAAAGGAAUUGUUUCCGCUUUUGAACUUUUAUUUUUCCUAAUCAUAUAUCAGUAGCCACCAUAUUAAUUUAGUGAUGAUGAUUUAUUGUAAAAUUGUGAACAUCAUUUUGAUGUCUAGAAUCUGGAUACAUGAGAAGGAUCAUACAGUAUGUUACUAAUGUGUCAAAAUCCUUAUUCCUAUAGAAUUUUCACCUCGUGACACUCCUACUGGACUUGAUGCUAGAGAUCAAUAUGUUCUUCAACUUGGUAGGUUGAUUGAUGCUCUAUAACACUAACACAUUUCUAGGAGGAAGCUGAUCUACAACUAGCUGAGUGAUGGUAUUAAUUAAUGAUUAUGGAAAACUGAAAUAUCUUGGGUUUGUGGACUCUCAUUUAUGUAUUACUGUGGAAUUCAUGUAAUUGUGCAUACCACUCUACCUACUUGGAUUUAAAGCAUAAUUGAAUGACCAUUCUUUGUACCAAACAUGAUGUAAAUUUAUCUCAUUGAACUAAGAUAAUAGUCAUUGGUCAAACAUAAAUUAGAUUUUCAUAGUUGUGCUUGAGGUGCUGGAUGAUUUGGAUUCCUUAGUCAGAGAGUUGGUCUGUCAUUGGUAGUUGAAAUACUCAGAAACCAGGACAUUUUCUUAUGAAGGGCUAAACUUGUCAUUCUCAAGCAUGGUUGAUCUAUUCAUGGGUUCCAAAUGUCAUUGAUGCCAAGAAGUAAGAAACCAGAAAAUUCACCUUAAGCAUUAGUGAAAGAAGCAAUUGUUGAUGAGAGAUUUGAAGUAUCAUUUGAUUGUGGUAUUAUAUUGCUAUUGCAAGUUUUUAGUUUGAUAAUGAUUAAAAGUUUUGUAACAUUGUUUUCUUUUAAACAGGUUUUGUAACAUUGUUGAUAGUGGCAUGUGUUAAGAGACAAGGCUUGGUGAUAUUUCUUAUCUCUUUCACCUUGUCUUAGUGUUGUUUAUUACUUGUGAAUGUUAUAUUUUACUUUUGUUUAUGAGUAUAUAUAUA